rnacentral:rRNA from 1 species
UACAGAGGAGCCAAGCGUUGUCCGGAUUGACUGGGCGUAAAGCGCACGCAGGCGGUCUGGCGCGUGGGGUGUGAAAUCUGGCCGCUUAACGGCCAGGCGCCAUCCCAUACGGCACGACUGGAGGGCUGCAGAGGUCGAUGGAAUUGCCGGUGUAGUGGUGAAAUGCGUAGAGAUCGGCAGGAACACCCAGGGGGAAACCAGUCGACUGGGCAGCACCUGACGCUGAGGUGCGAGAGCGUGGGGAGCGAACCGG